AAGCAAUGUUUGCAUAGUUUAUGUGGCAAUGAAUAAAUGAGUGAUAUAAUUGUACUAAAGUGCAGUAAGAAAACUAUCCCUAAGCGACGAUUAGUCAACCGGACAAGAUGCUGCCAAAAUGGCUAUCAAGUUCAAUUGACACGGAUGGCCUCGAAAAAAUCGCUAGGAGAGGCGUAGAGGAAAGUUCUUUAGAAAACAUUAUACUUUUAUAUUAAAUGUAAUGAAGUGUUUUUUAUAAUAUAUUUAUUUUCUUUUUUA